rnacentral:rRNA from 1 species
UACGGAGGGGGCUAGCGUUGUUCGGAAUUACUGGGCGUAAAGCGCGCGUAGGCGGCUUUGUAAGUUAGAGGUGAAAGCCCGGAGCUCAACUCCGGAACUGCCUUUAAGACUGCAUCGCUAGAAUCAUGGAGAGGUGAGUGGAAUUCCGAGUGUAGAGGUGAAAUUCGUAGAUAUUCGGAAGAACACCAGUGGCGAAGGCAGCUCUCUGGGACGGUACUGACGCUGAGACGCGAAAGCGUGGGGAGCGAACAGG